AAUAAAGUGCCUGAAUAAAGGAUUAUUCUGAUAGAAUAAAUAAUGUAAUUUUUUUUUACCUUUAUUA
rnacentral:tRNA from 2 species